rnacentral:rRNA from 1 species
AUAGGACGUCCAACUUAACUUGGAGUCCGAACUCUCACUUUCUAACCCUGUGCACUUGUUUGGGAUAGUAACUCUCGCAAGAGAGCGAACUCCUAUUCACUUAUAAACACAAAGUCUAUGAAUGUAUUAAAUUUUAUAACAAAAUAAAACUUUCAACAACGGAUCUCUUGGCUCUCGCAUCGAUGAAGAACGCAGCGAAAUGCGAUAAGUAAUGUGAAUUGCAGAAUUCAGUGAAUCAUCGAAUCUUUGAACGCACCUUGCGCUCCAUGGUAUUCCGUGGAGCAUGCCUGUUUGAGUGUCAUGAAUACUUCAACCCUCCUCUUUCUUAAUGAUUGAAGAGGUGUUUGGUUUCUGAGCGCUGCUGGCCUUUACGGUCUAGCUCGUUCGUAAUGCAUUAGCAUCCGCAAUCGAACUUCGGAUUGACUUGGCGUAAUAGACUAUUCGCUGAGGAAUUCUAGUCUUCGGAUUAGAGCCGGGUUGGGUUAAAGGAAGCUUCUAAUCAGAAUGUCUACAUUUUAAGAUUAGAUCUCAAAUCAGGUAGGACUACCCGCUGAACUUAAGCAUAUCAAUAAGCGGAGGAAAAGAAACUAACAAGGAUUCCCCUAGUAGCGGCGAGCGAAGCGGGAAGAGCUCAAAUUUAUAAUCUGGCACCUUCGGUGUCCGAGUUGUAAUCUCUAGAAAUGUUUUCCGCGUUGGACCGCACACAAGUCUGUUGGAAUACAGCGGCAUAGUGGUGAGACCCCCGUAUAUGGUGCGGACGCCCAGCGCUUUGUGAUACAUUUUCGAAGAGUCGAGUUGUUUGGGAAUGCAGCUCAAAUUGGGUGGUAAAUUCCAUCUAAAGCUAAAUAUUGGCGAGAGACCGAUAGCGAACAAGUACCGUGAGGGAAAGAUGAAAAGCACUUUGGAAAGAGAGUUAACAGUACGUGAAAUUGUUGGAAGGGAAACGCUUGAAGUCAGACUUGCUUGCCGAGCAAUCGGUUUGCAGGCCAGCAUCAGUUUUCCGGGAUGGAUAAUGGUAGAGAGAAGGUAGCAGUUUCGGCUGUGUUAUAGCUCUCUGCUGGAUACAUCUUGGGGGACUGAGGAACGCAGUGUGCCUUUGGCGGGGGUUUCGACCUCUUC